rnacentral:misc_RNA from 1 species
GUAUUUGUUGCGUUUUUAAGGCAAUAAAAAAAUUGACAUUCUAUAGACAUACGAUGGGUUUAUGAAAUACAUAGGCCCGAAGGCCUACAUUUGGUUCACAGGUGUGUGUGGAUUAAAGGGCUCGGGCGUGCACAUGCCGUUUCACGGGCCAGCUACAACCUUCGCCUUGUAAUUCGAUAAUGAUCCUUCCGCAGGUUCACCUACGGAAA